GAGUUUGGUUCUUUGAGUAAGAAUACCUAGCUGAUAAUUAGGUUGUAGAGGGUUAGAUUCCCUCCAAGCUUU
rnacentral:tRNA from 1 species